UUCCAGACUCCUACGGGAGGCAGCAGUGGGGGAUAUUGCACAAUGGGCGCAAGCCUGAUGCAGCGACGCCGCGUGGAGGAAGAAGGUUUUCGGAUUGUAAACUCCUGUCUUCAGGGACGAUAAUGACGGUACCUGAGGAGGAAGCCACGGCUAACUACGUGCCAGCAGCCGCGGUAAUACGUAGGUGGCAAGCGUUGUCCGGAAUUACUGGGUGUAAAGGGAGCGUAGGCGGGACAGCAAGUCCAGUGUGAAAUCUAUCGGCUCAACCGAUAGCUGCGCUGGAAACUGUGGUUCUUGAGUGAAGUAGAGGCAGGCGGAAUUCCUAGUGUAGCGGUGAAGUGCGUAGAUAUUAGGAGGAACACCAGUGGCGAAGGCGGCCUGCUGGACUUUUACUGACGCUGAGGCUCGAAAGUGUGGGUAGCAAACAGGAUUAGAUACCCUUGUA
rnacentral:rRNA from 1 species